ACUAACCUAUGCCCAACUCUUAGGAAAACAGAAAGAAAAGAGAGACUACUUAAGAGACAGAAGCCCAGUGAGAGAAAAUGAGAGAGGGCCAUUUUGCCAGGAAAGUUGUACAGAAACAGGAUACAGAGGGAGAACAAGCUAGACAUAGGUGUGGACAGAACAAGCUAGAGAAUGAAAAGGAGCCAGGCGAUUAGAACAUUAUUUUCAAAGUUAGUAUGAGGCUAAGCAGUGCAAUUCAGGAGAAGCUGAGAGAAACCAGAUCGAAUCAGUCAGCUUGGAGAGGAGUUUGAGCCAAAACAGCUGAGCUGAGUCAACUAUCCAGAGAUCAGAAAGAACUAGCAAGGGGUGAGCUUAUUCAGCAGCAAGUCUCAGAGACUGAAAACAUUCUAGGCCUAGAUUAGAUUGUAUGGAGGCUAGAAGUUUCCAGGACUAGGGCCUGAGUUAGAAGACAGAGGCAGCAAGCCUCAGAGAGGACAAUUUCAUCAGCAGAGUAAACGUUACUUUCAUAGGCAGUAUUGGGGAAUUUUAAAGGAUACAGCAAUGGGAUGUGAGGCCAGAAUUUUCACCUGGGUCAAAACUGAUCUGCACAUGCUUCGACUCCAUCUUCAGAACCACCAUAAACAGAGUUUGAAAGUCUCUCUCCAACUGAAACUCAGAGCCAUGCUGUACGUCACUGGAGUAGCAGGGCAGGUGGGACACUCUAGGGAUGAGACUGAACACCUGGGGGAGGGACAGGGCGUGUGCUGUGAUGGUGUGUCACAAAGAGAAGUACAGACAGAAAUUUCUAGAAGACCUCGUGUUUAUUUGCACUUUGUAAACCCCAGAGAUGAACUACAAGUCACAGUGGUGUCAGUCAUGAAGAGAUGGUUAUUGUUAAUUGUCGACUUGACAGACUCUACAGUCUCAUGAGAGGUAAACUUCUAAGCAUGCUUUCAGGGAAUUAUCCUGAUUAUGUUAAUUGAGGUGUGAAAGACCUGCCACAUCAGUGCCUGGACUGGAUCUUGAUUGUACAAACAGAGAGAAUUCCUGCAAUGGCAUGUGUAUUUUGCUCUCUGCUUCCUGAUUGCAGAUACAAUGUAAACCAGCUGUUUCAACCUUUUGCUACCUUGGCUUUCCCAGCAUGAUGGAGCAUUCCUUGGAAUUGUGAGCUCAAAUAAACCUUUUCUCCCUU
rnacentral:lncRNA from 1 species